UUUCCUGUAGUUUAAUGGUAAAAUACACCACUCAUAAUGGUCGGGAUAUAGGUUCGAUUCCUAUCGGGGACA
rnacentral:tRNA from 2 species